ACAUACACUGAUGUUUCAGCAUGAACGUGUCAUAGACCACACCUGAGCCACAGACCCUUGUGUCAGCCAGAGCUGUUCUGAACCCUAAUCCACACCCUUAUCUCUGGCUAGCCGAGCUUUCUGACACCCACCUAUAGACCUUCUUUCCUCUCCUGAAAUUCCUCUCUUUACAUACAGCCUGGCUGCCGCUGGUCCCAAUCCCUGUCCUCUGCGUCCCCUUCUAAGGUGUGGAGUGGAGGGCACAGAGAAGACGGUGCUGCUCCAGGAGGAGGGACAGGGCUGCCCACCCUCCUGUUGGGAAACGAGCAGUCGCUGCUCCCAUGAGCAUCUGUGCACAGGGAGAGGGGAAGAGCCCUUUCCCUCCCGGCAGUUUUGGGACAGGAGAUGCUCCAGGCUUGCCAUCUCCUACAUGACGACGGGAAAGAUGGGGGAUGUGAUGAGUCACCCCAAAUAGUAGCAUUGAGAAGGCUGCUCAAGGCCUGGCAACACCACCACUGGGAACCAACAAUCAAGAGUGGAAAUCAGGGGCUGGAGAGAUGGCUUAGUGGUUAAGAGCACUGACUGCUCUUUCAGACAUCCUGAGUUCAAAUCCCAGCAACUACAUGGUGGCUCACAACCAUCUGUAAUGAGAUCUGAUGCCCUCUUCUGGUGUGUCAGAAGAUAGCUACAGUGUACUUAUAUAUAAUAAAUCUUUAAAAAAAUAAAAGUGGAAAUCAGAGAAUGAGGAAAGAUGGCAGGUGGGAGGUACCUUUUUGUAACCGGCACUGGACUCCUCUAAGUCAGGGCCCUCAUCAGGACCACU